UAUAGGUUUGGUCAUAGCCUUUCUAUUAGUUAAUAGUAAAAUUACACAUGCAAGAAUCCCCAUUCCAGUGAAUACGCCCUCUUUACCGUUAUUGGUAGUAUCUAAGGAGCUGGUAUCAGGCACACUGACUUCUAUAGUAGCCCAUAACGCCUCGCCUAGCCACACCCCUACGGGACACAGCAGUGAUAAAAAUUAAGCAAUAAAUGAAAAUUUGACUAAGUUAUACUAUUAAGAACUGGUAAAUUUCGUGCCAGCCACCGCGGUCACACGAUUAGGUCAAACUAAUAGAUAUUUCGGCGUAAAGCGUGUUUUAGAGAUAAAUCAAUAAUAAAACUAACUAUAACUAAACUGUAAAAAGUCCUAGCUACUGUAAAAUAUACUACGAAAGUGGUUUUAAAAUAUCUGACUACACGAUAACUAAGAUCCAAACUGGGAUUAGAUACCCCACUAUGCUUAGUCUUAAAUAUAAAAAAUCAUCUAACAAACUUAUUCGCCAGAGAACUACAAGCAAUAGCUUAAAACUCAAAGGACCUGGCGGUGCCUUAAAUCCCUCUAGAGGAGCCUGUUCUAUAAUCGAUAAACCCCGUUAUACCUCACCAAUCCUUGCAAAUCAGUCUAUAUACCGCCAUCUUCAGCAAACCCUAAAAAGGAAUUAUAGCAAGCACAAUCAUUAACAUAAAAACGUUAGGUCAAGGUGUAGCCUAUGGAUUGGAGAGAAAUGGGCUACAUUUCUCGAAUCGAGAAAAAUAAUUACGAAAACCUAUGUGAAACCAAAAGUUAAAGGUGGAUUUAGCAGUAAAUUAAGAAUAGAGAGCUUAAUUGAAUAAGGCCAUAAGGCACGUACACACCGCCCGUCACCCUCCUCAAAUAAUAUAACAUACUACAUAUUAUAAUUAAUUAAUAGUAUUAGUUUAUGAGAAGAGACAAGUCGUAACUAGGUAAGUGUACUGGAAAGUGCACUUGGAUAACA
rnacentral:ncRNA from 1 species